ensembl:snRNA U4 U4 spliceosomal RNA
GCUUUUGCGCAGUGGCAGUAUCGUAGCCAAUGAGGUUUAUCCGAGGCGCGAUUAUUGCUGAUUAAAAAUCCAUCAAAGAAGUCACAUGGAUUGAUGAAUAAGUAGAGGGAUGGAAUGAUAGAUAUAUGAUAAAGCAA